rnacentral:lncRNA from 1 species
UAUAGUUCCCAUCAGAGAAGUUACAGCAGCAUAAGCAGCCAUCUCCAGUAAUAUUGAAAUUUCAAGCGAAGGAGGAAGAGGUUAUCGGCAUUAAUUGGUGGUUUCAACGGUUCGUCUUCUGGAAAAGAAAAUGCACCACCUGAGCCAUUAUUUGGGGUUAUUUUUAAUAAUUUAAAAUACCUUCUCAAAUCUACUGCCUCCGGUCCAAAAUAUUAG